ACAAACUCAGUUCUCUUUGAUUUUGCAGCGAACACUGGCAACACAGCCGCCCUACAUUCAUGGAAGAGAAAGGUCGAUGGAGAGGUAACGCCUUCAGACAAUGAAGACCCAGGUUCCUUUCACAGAGACUGGGGCUUCUGUGCUGCCUUCUGUAGAGCCUGGGACAGCAUUGCUGCAUAGCAGAACUUUCCAGAUAUUUGUGAAAUAAACCGACUCAACCAUAA
ensembl:antisense Gm28319 predicted gene 28319